GCACCCGUAGCUCAAUGGAUAGAGCGCCUGACUUCGAAUCAGUAGGCUGGAGGUUCGAGUCCCUCCGGGUGCGCCA
rnacentral:tRNA from 1 species